rnacentral:rRNA from 1 species
GACGAACGCUGGCGGCGUGCUUAACACAUGCAAGUCGAACGCUGAAGCUCAGCUUUUGUUGGGUGGAUGAGUGGCGAACGGGUGAGUAACACGUGAGUAACCUGCCCCCUUCUUUGGGAUAACGCCCGGAAACGGGUGCUAAUACUGGAUAUUCACUGGUCUUCGCAUGGGGGUUGGUGGAAAGGGUUUUUCUGGUGGGGGAUGGGCUCGCGGCCUAUCAGCUUGUUGGUGGGGUGAUGGCCUACCAAGGCUUUGACGGGUAGCCGGCCUGAGAGGGUGACCGGUCACAUUGGGACUGAGAUACGGCCCAGACUACUACGGGGGGGAGCAGUGGGGAAUAUUGCACAAUGGGCGAAAGCGUGAUGCAGCGACGCCGCGUGAGGGAUGGAGGCCUUCGGGUUGUGAACCUCUUUCGCUCAUGGUCAAGCCGCAACAAUGGUUGUGGUGAGGGUAGUGGGUAAAGAAGCGCCGGCUAACUACGUG